rnacentral:miRNA from 14 species
GAAAUGCCUCCAUGAAAUCCAGCUGUAAGGCAUUUUCUCAAUUAGUGAUCAAGGAGGGAGGGCCCUUUGUGGGUGGUACCAUCCCUGGGCUGGUAGUCUUG